rnacentral:lncRNA from 1 species
GUAACUUGAGCAAAGGGGUGUUCCAGUGGGGUGAAGGGAAUAUGGGGUGAAGACAGGUGUGUGGUAAGGAAGAGGCGAGGUACCGUAAUUCCUUAUAUUCUUUUGCCCUAGGCUGUUACUGCAACUCCUUUGAGUCUAAUUUCCUCUGUGCGGCUUGCGACCGGCGCUGGGAGGAGCACGAAACUUUCUUUGAGACUGAGGAGACCAAGCGAAGAGGAAAAAGACCUUAUGGGACAAACACUGCCAAGAACCGGCACAGGCCCUUCUGAGCUUGGCCACGAUCAACAAUAAAGUGGAAGCCAAUAGAAUCUGACCUGGCUCUAUAUGGAACAGGUAGCAUCAAGACUCAGUUUCCAGUCAGCUCCAACUCCAGGCAAGAGAUAGCACCGAGCAGAAUGAAGGCUGACGCCAGCCAUCUUCCCCUAUCUGGGCCACAUUCAAGCUCCUGGCCUUGACACCAGGAGACUGGCUUCAAGAGAGCCAAAAGCAGAGAGAAUAGACUAGGCAGGGGCUUGUUGUGUGGCUGGGUUCCAUAAGGCAAAGCCAUUGAACUUAGUAGGUCUUUGGAGACGCUGCCAUGGUGGAAGGAAACACCAAAUACCCACGAAUUUGAAGGAGUCUCUUCAAGGAGGUUGGGUAAGAAGUAGAGGAAAGAAAUCCGACAACACCCUGAGUGGGCUGUAGAUCAAGGUAGCGACUUUUUAAGAAGGAGCAGGGGAGGAGGCCCCUAUGCAAAAGGAUCCUGAAGGCUGAAGA